GAGAGAUGAGUAACACAGCUUAGAGAGGUGUAUGUGUAUAACACAGAAAGAAGGAGAGAGAGAUGACUAACACAGCUUAGAGAGGUUUAUGUGUAUAACAGAAAGAAGGAGAGAGAGAUGAGUAACACAGCUUAGAGAGGUGUAUGUGUAUAACAGAAAAGAAGGAGAGAGAGAUCAGUUACAUAGCUUAGAGAGGUGUAUGUGUAUAACAGAGAAAGAGAGAGAGAUGAGUAACACAGCAAAGGGUGCUGUAUGUGUAUAACAGAGAAAGAAGGAGAGAGAGAUGAGUAACACAGCUUAGAGAGGUGUAUGUGUAUAACAGAGAAAGAGAGAGAGA
ensembl:lncRNA